rnacentral:rRNA from 1 species
GAUGAACGCUAGCAGAACGCCUAACACAUGCAAGUCGAACGAGUAGCAAUACUAGUGGCAAACGGGCGAGUAACACGUAUCUAACCUGCCCUUGAGUGAGGCACAACUAUGGAGACAUAGCUAAUUCCUCAUACGCUGCAGAAAAUGAAAAUAUCUGUGGGAAAGAUUUAUCGCUCAAGGAGGGGGAUGCGGCCUAUCAGGUAGUCGGUGAGGUAAUGGCUCACCAAGCCUAUGACGGGUAGCCGGUCUGAGAGGAUGUCCGGCCGCAAUGGAACUGAGAAACGGUCCAUACUCCUACGGGAGGCAGCAGUGGGGAAUAUUGGACAAUGGGCGAAAGCCUGAUCCAGCGAUUCUGCGUGAAGGAUGAAGCCUCGUGGGUGUAAACGUUCUUUUCUGGGUAGAAGACGAAUGACGGUAUCUCAGGAAUAAGAGAACGGGCUAAACUACGUGCCAGCAGUCCG